rnacentral:rRNA from 1 species
CGCUCCUACCGAUUGAGUGAUCCGGUGAAUAAUUCGGACUGAUGCAGUGCUCAGCUUCUGAACUUUGCAUUGGAAAGUUUAGUGAACCUUAUCACUUAGAGGAAGGAGAAGUCGUAACAAGGUUUCCGUAGGUGAACCUGCGGA